CCUACGGGCGGCAGCAGUGGGGAAUCUUCCGCAAUGGACGAAAGUCUGACGGAGCAACGCCGCGUGAGUGAAGAAGGCCUUCGGGUUGUAAAACUCUGUCUUCAGGGAAGAAAAAAAUGACGGUACCUGAGGAGGAAGCCACGGCUAACUACGUGCCAGCAGCCGCGGUAAUACGUAGGUGGCAAGCGUUGUCCGGAAUCAUUGGGCGUAAAGGGCGCGUAGGCGGUUAUUUAAGUCAGUUGUGAAAACUCUGGGCUCAACCCGGAGAUUGCAGUUGAUACUGGGUAACUUGAGUGCAGGAGAGGAUAGUGGAAUUCCUAGUGUAGCGGUGAGAUGCGUAGAUAUUAGGAGGACGACCAGUGGCGAAGGCGGCUGUCUGGACUGUCACUGACGCUGAGGCGCGAAAGCGUGGGGAGCAAACAGGAUUAGCUACCCCGGUAGUC
rnacentral:rRNA from 1 species